rnacentral:rRNA from 1 species
AACUCCUACGGGAGGCAGCAGUGAGGAAUAUUGGUCAAUGGGCGCGAGCCUGAACCAGCCAAGUCGCGUGAGGGAAGACGGUCCUAUGGGUUGUAAACCUCUUUUGUCGGGGAGCAAAGCGAACCACGUGUGGUUCAUUGAGAGUACCCGAAGAAAAAGCAUCGGCUAACUCCGUGCCAGCAGCCGCGGUAAUACGGAGGAUGCGAGCGUUAUCUGGAUUUAUUGGGUUUAAAGGGUGCGCAGGCGGAGGUGCAAGUCAGUGGUCAAAUUGCGGGGCUCAACCCCGUACUGCCGUUGAAACUGCA